GGGGUUUCCUUCUCAGAUCCCUUUUUGUUAUGCAAACUUUUUGUUCAGCAGUGUUAUCUCUUGCAGGUGUUUGUUAGAAUCAUUGUUUGUGAGAAGAAACCUGGGUGUGCUCAUUUCUUGCUGAGGUUCCCUUCUCUGCAAAGACCUGCCUGACUCACUGCUUGACUUGGAAACACCCCCAGGUAUUUUAUCUCUCUAUUUUACCUCCUGGUCCUGCUCUGAACGCUGAAAGGAUGCUGCUGCUUCUGCAUGGUGGGAUCCAGUCCCCACCAGUGCCCCCAUCUGCCCGAACUCCAUUGGAGUGGGAACGAUGGAGUCUGGGUGCAAGGGGGUUCUCAGCCACCAGAGUUUGUUGAGUUACCCAGGCAAAGGCUGAUCAUGCCCAGGAGAUGAUUUUAUAGCUCGUACACAUUUACUGUCCAGAUAUUUCCAUUUUUCCUUAGCCUUUUUCACAUAUAACACGCACGUGGGUGAUGAAGAGAGUGCACUUAUGGAAUGUUCUGUUUCAUUCCAGGGAUGGCUCAGCUCAGAAAUGAUCACAGACAGACACUCUUCACUUCCACCCAAUUCCACGCUGCUUGCAAAUGGAACAGGGGAAAAACUCUGCAGCCUGUGGGCUCUGACAGGCAGUUUCCCCAAUGAGCCGUGUGGGAGCCGAUGGGGAAGGUGGGGAUGUUGGCACAGCCCGGCCCCACCGAUGCUGAUUGAUGAAGCUUCAGCUUUGAACUCUGGAUUUUCCUUCUGAAACAUGGAAUAAAUAAGAGACACAGAAGAACUGAAGGCAGGGAGGAUGCGUGGCACAGCUCCUUCCCCACCUUGCUCAGGUCAGUGGGGCUCCCACCUCCAUGUUCCCUUCUCUGUGAUUCCUUUCAAGCCUAUUUUAAUAAAUGCCAUCUGCUACCUGCCCCUAAACCUGG
rnacentral:lncRNA from 1 species